rnacentral:rRNA from 1 species
AGAGUUUGAUCAUGGCUCAGAUUGAACGCUGGCGGCAGGCCUAACACAUGCAAGUCGAGCGGUAGCACAGAGAGCUUGCUCUCGGGUGACGAGCGGCGGACGGGUGAGUAAUGUCUGGGAAACUGCCUGAUGGAGGGGGAUAACUACUGGAAACGGUAGCUAAUACCGCAUAAUGUCGCAAGACCAAAGUGGGGGACCUUCGGGCCUCAUGCCAUCAGAUGUGCCCAGAUGGGAUUAGCUAGUAGGUGGGGUAACGGCUCACCUAGGCGACGAUCCCUAGCUGGUCUGAGAGGAUGACCAGCCACACUGGAACUGAGACACGGUCCAGACUCCUACGGGAGGCAGCAGUGGGGAAUAUUGCACAAUGGGCGCAAGCCUGAUGCAGCCAUGCCGCGUGUGUGAAGAAGGCCUUCGGGUUGUAAAGCACUUUCAGCGGGGAGGAAGGCGNCGAUUGACGUUACCCGCAGAAGAAGCACCGGCUAACUCCGUGCCAGCAGCCGCGGUAAUACGGAGGGUGCAAGCGUUAAUCGGAAUUACUGGGCGUAAAGCGCACGCAGGCGGUCUGUCAAGUCGGAUGUGAAAUCCCCGGGCUCAACCUGGGAACUGCAUUCGAAACUGGCAGGCUAGAGUCUUGUAGAGGGGGGUAGAAUUCCAGGUGUAGCGGUGAAAUGCGUAGAGAUCUGGAGGAAUACCGGUGGCGAAGGCGGCCCCCUGGACAAAGACUGACGCUCAGGUGCGAAAGCGUGGGGAGCAAACAGGAUUAGAUACCCUGGUAGUCCACGCCGUAAACGAUGUCGAUUUGGAGGUUGUGCCCUUGAGGCGUGGCUUCCGGAGCUAACGCGUUAAAUCGACCGCCUGGGGAGUACGGCCGCAAGGUUAAAACUCAAAUGAAUUGACGGGGGCCCGCACAAGCGGUGGAGCAUGUGGUUUAAUUCGAUGCAACGCGAAGAACCUUACCUGGUCUUGACAUCCACAGAACUUAGCAGAGAUGCUUUGGUGCCUUCGGGAACUGUGAGACAGGUGCUGCAUGGCUGUCGUCAGCUCGUGUUGUGAAAUGUUGGGUUAAGUCCCGCAACGAGCGCAACCCUUAUCCUUUGUUGCCAGCGGUUAGGCCGGGAACUCAAAGGAGACUGCCAGUGAUAAACUGGAGGAAGGUGGGGAUGACGUCAAGUCAUCAUGGCCCUUACGACCAGGGCUACACACGUGCUACAAUGGCAUAUACAAAGAGAAGCGACCUCGCGAGAGCAAGCGGACCUCAUAAAGUAUGUCGUAGUCCGGAUUGGAGUCUGCAACUCGACUCCAUGAAGUCGGAAUCGCUAGUAAUCGUAGAUCAGAAUGCUACGGUGAAUACGUUCCCGGGCCUUGUACACACCGCCCGUCACACCAUGGGAGUGGGUUGCAAAAGAAGUAGGUAGCUUAACCUUCGGGAGGGCGCUUACCACUUUGUGAUUCAUGACUGGGGUGAAGUCGUAACAAGGUAACCGUAGGGGAACCUGCGGUUG